rnacentral:rRNA from 1 species
CACGAAGCUAGCCGGGGCUUCUUCUCCGGCUACAGUCAUUAUCUUCACCGGUGAAAGGAUUUUACAAUCCUAAGACCUUCAUCAUCCACGCGGCAUGGCUGCGUCAGGCUUUCGCCCAUUGCGCAAGAUUCCCCACUGCUGCCUCCCGUAGGAGUUUGGGCCGUGUCUCAGUCCCAAUGUGGCUGGUCAUCCUCUCAGACCAGCUACUGAUCGUAGCCUUGGUGAGCCUUUACCUCACCAACUAGCUAAUCAGACGCGGGCCGCUCUAAAGGCGAUAAAUCUUUCCCCCGAAGGGCACAUUCGGUAUUAGCACAGGUUUCCCUGAGUUAUUCCGAACCUAAAGGCACGUUCCCACGUGUUACUCACCCGUCCGCCACUAACUCCGAAGAGUUCGUUCGACUUGCAUGUGUUAGGCCUGCCGCCAGCGUUCGCUCUGAGCCAGGAUCAAACUCU